CUCUGUCUAUGUCCGUCAAACAAACGAGGAAGUAAUGGCGUAUCGCGUCGUUUCGCUUUCCGAUAUUCCUGACAAAUUAUCAUAAAUGUGACAUUACAAUGCGAAAAAAUAGAAGUCAAAGGAAUUUGUAACUGGCUGCUUUAGAAAAUGACGAUAUCUAAAAUUUACGGGGUGAAAUCUAUCCAAGUCAGAGAAAAUCGGAUAGCCGCCAUGUUGUCAACAUUGACAUCGAUACAAAGGAAAAGCGUGUGUGUGACGCAUACUGUAAAUGCAAACAAGGAAAUUGUGGAACAUGUUCACACACUCUGGCUGUAAAAGUAGACCUGGAAGGAAAAGUGCCCCCGGUGUGGGGCUCGAACUCACAACCACCAGAACACUAGCCCGGCUUUCUAACCAACUAAGCUGACCGGGCAGCUGGUUCUAACCCACACACACUACCCUCCCCCCAUUUACCGUUUAAGGCUGGUGGAGGGUCUCCUGCUAUUUACCGUUGACACCAUUAAAGUAUUCUGAUUGAUGGAGAUAAGGAAGUCCCCUUAUUAUUGUCUUCAACAAGCCUACCGCCACAGGGGACCUAGCAUAAGACCGGAAACCGCCCCCCCCCCACACACACACAUGAUAUUUGCCAGUCCAGGCAAUGUCAACCGCAAGAGAAAACCAGUGAUGACAAGUUUUACAAAUAAUCGGAAAGUGUGGUCUUUUGAAGAGAGUUCUUGAAGUUGUUCAGCAUGUUGUUUUGAUGGAUUCUUGGAAGGAUGUACCUCUAUGAUGUUAGCUUCAGUUCUGGAGUAUAACACCAAUUGUUGCAUAUUUAAUAUCAGAUUUAUUAAAUACAUUGUUGUUUUGCAAACAUUACUUAAACUUUGAUAUUUCUUUGGUGUUUAUGUAUGAUAUUGUAGGUGAAUAUCUCUUUAUUGCAAUGGCAAAUAUAUUUUAAAAUAUAUAGCAUUAGCAGAAGUUAUUUUUCACUGUAAAAGCUGCACUUUCACAGAUUGAUCACUUUGAAAACUUACACAGGAUUCGAUUGCAUUUAUCAUAUUUUGGCUCGGAGAAGUUUGCUUUGUGAUUUAUAUAUUAGGUCUUAAUUUAAAGAAUGCCAAAAUAAGCCGAUUCUGAGACAAAAAGUGUCAAACUAGAAUUCUGUGAUAGUGCAACUUUAAGAAUACUGUUCAUCGAGUGUGCAUGUGAUCCGGACUCUGAACAUUGGAUGAACUAUCAUUAAAUAUUGUAGAUUUACGUAAAUGGCCCAAAAUAUAAGAAUAACAAUGAAAAUAUGUACAUGUUUGACUUGUUCUUUAUUCAUAAUAAGUCUAAGUGUUUACAGCACAUGUUUGGCAGAAUCAAGUUCUAAUGAACAUAAUAAUUGAUUUAAAUGUACAGUGAAAUAAAUU